rnacentral:rRNA from 1 species
UACGUAGGGUGCGAGCGUUAAUCGGAAUUACUGGGCGUAAAGCGUGCGCAGGCGGUUGUGUAAGACAGGUGUGAAAUCCCCGGGCUUAACCUGGGAACUGCGCUUGUGACUGCACAGCUAGAGUAUGGCAGAGGGGGGGUGGAAUUCCACGUGUAGCAGUGAAAUGCGUAGAGAUGUGGAGGAACACCGAUGGCGCAAGGCAG